rnacentral:rRNA from 1 species
GACAGAGGGUGCAAGCGUUGUUCGGAAUUAUUGGGCGUAAAGCGCGCGUAGGCGGCGAAGUAAGUCGAAUGUGAAAGCCCGUGGCUUAACCAUGGAAGUGCAUUCGAAACUACUUUGCUCGAGUGUCGGAGAGGGUGGUGGAAUUCCCAGUGUAGAGGUGAAAUUCGUAGAUAUUGGGAGGAACACCAGUGGCGAAGGCGACCACCUGGACGACUACUGACGCUGAGGCGCGAGAGCGUGGGGAGCAAACAGG